ACAGUGGACGCGAGCAUCUGUGGCCAAGUUUUUAAGGGCGCACGGUGGAUGCCUUGGC
rnacentral:rRNA from 3 species